rnacentral:rRNA from 1 species
UACAUGGGGUGCAAACGUUGCUCGGAAUCACUGGGCGUAAAGGGUGCGUAGGCGGGUCUUUAAGUCAGGGGUGAAAUCCUGGAGCUCAACUCCAGAACUGCCUUUGAUACUGAGGAUCUUGAGUUCGGGAGAGGUGAGUGGAACUGCGAGUGUAGAGGUGAAAUUCGUAGAUAUUCGCAAGAACACCAGUGGCGAAGGCGGCUCACUGGCCCGAUACUGACGCUGAGGCACGAAAGCGUGGGGAGCAAACAGG